UACGAGGGGAGCUAGCGUUAUUCGGAAUUACUGGGCGUAAAGCGCACGUAGGCGGCUUUGUAAGUUAGAGGUGAAAGCCCGGGGCUCAACUCCGGAAUUGCCUUUAAGACUGCAUCGCUUGAAUCCAGGAGAGGUGAGUGGAAUUCCGAGUGUAGAGGUGAAAUUCGUAGAUAUUCGGAAGAACACCAGUGGCGAAGGCGGCUCACUGGACUGGUAUUGAUGCUGAGGUGCGAAAGCGUGGGUAGCAAACAGG
rnacentral:rRNA from 1 species